rnacentral:rRNA from 1 species
GAUCCUGGCUCAGGAUGAACGCUAGCUACAGGCUUAACACAUGCAAGUCGAGGGGCAUCAGGGUGUAGCAAUACACAGCUGGCGACCGGCGCACGGGUGAGUAACACGUAUCCAACCUGCCCUUUACUCGGGGAUAGCCUUUCGAGAGAAAGAUUAAUACCCGAUGGUAUAACAUGACCUCCUGGUUUUGUUAUUAAAGAAUUUCGGUAGAGGAUGGGGAUGCGUUCCAUUAGGCAGUUGGCGGGGUAACCGG